AGAGUUUGAUCCUGGCUCAGGAUGAACGCUGACAGAAUGCUUAACACAUGCAAGUCGAUGGGGAAGUGGUGCUUGCACCAUGGUAACCAUGGCGGACGGGUGAGUAACGCGUAAGGGACUUACCUGCAGGACUGGGAUAACAGGGGGAAACUCCUGACAAGACCGGAUAAUGUCAUGGAGCUGCAUGGCUUUAUGAUGAAAGGAGACGCCUGCGGAGAGCCUUGCGUCCUAUUAGCUAGUUGGUGAGGUAAGGGCUCACCAAGGCGAAGAUAGGUAGCCGGCCUGAGAGGGUGGACGGCCACAAGGGGACUGAGAUACGGCCCUUACUCCUACGGGAGGCAGCAGUGGGGAAUAUUGGACAAUGGGGGCAACCCUGAUCCAGCAAUUCUGUGUGCACGAAGAAGGUUUUCGGAUUGUAAAGUGCUUUCAGCAGGGAAGAAGGAAGUGACGGUACCUGCAGAAGAAGCGACGGCUAAAUACGUGCCAGCAGCCGCGGUAAUACGUAUGUCGCGAGCGUUAUCCGGAAUUAUUGGGCAUAAAGGGCAUCUAGGCGGCCUAACAAGUCAGGGGUGAAAACCUGCGGCUCAACCGCAGGCCUGCCUUUGAAACUGUAAGGCUGGAGUACCGGAGAGGUGGACGGAACUGCACGAGUAGAGGUGAAAUUCGUAGAUAUGUGCAGGAAUGCCGAUGAUGAAGAUAGUUCACUGGACGGUAACUGACGCUGAAGUGCGAAAGCCGGGGGAGCGAACAGGAUUAGAUACCCUGGUAGUCCCGGCUGUAAACGAUGAUUACUGGGUGUGGGCAGGAAGACUGUCUGUGCCGAAGCAAAUGCGAUAAGUAAUCCGCCUGGGGAGUACGGCCGCAAGGCUGAAACUCAAAGGAAUUGACGGGGACCCGCACAAGCGGUGGAGCAUGU
rnacentral:rRNA from 1 species